CCUCCUAUCUGGAUUAGCUUUUAGCUAAAGAAUAUUUAGAUAUAGCAGGUAGCAAAAAGACAAAAAAAAAAAAAGAAAAAGAAAAUCCAGAUAG